UACGUAGGGGGCAAGCGUUGUCCGGAAUCAUUGGGCGUAAAGAGCGUGUAGGCGGCCAGAUAAGUCCGCUGUGAAAGCUCGAGGCUCAACUUCGAGCUGUCGGUGGAAACUGUCUGGCUAGAGUCCGGAAGAGGAGAAUGGAAUUCCUGGUGUAGCGGUGAAAUGCGCAGAUAUCAGGAAGAACACCCGUGGCGAAGGCGGUUCUCUGGGACGGUACUGACGCUGAGACGCGAAAGCGUGGGGAGCGAACAGG
rnacentral:rRNA from 1 species